rnacentral:rRNA from 1 species
GACGAACGCUGGCGGCGUGCUUAACACAUGCAAGUCGAACGGUAAGGCCUCUUCGGGGGUACACGAGUGGCGAACGGGUGAGUAACACGUGAGUAACCUGCCCUUGACUUUGGGAUAACAUCUGGAAACAGGUGCUAAUACCGGAUAUGAGCUUGUCCUGCAUGGGAUGGGUUGGAAAGCUCCGGCGGUCAUGGAUGGACUCGCGGCCUAUCAGCUUGUUGGUGAGGUAAUGGCUCACCAAGGCUUCGACGGGUAGCCGGCCUGAGAGGGCGACCGGCCACAUUGGGACUGAGAUACGGCCCAAACUCCUACGGGAGGCAGCAGUGGGGAAUAUUGCACAAUGGGCGGAAGCCUGAUGCAGCAACGCCGCGUGCGGGAUGACGGCCUUCGGGUUGUAAACCGCUUUCAGCAGGGACGAAGCGUGAGUGACAGUACCUGCAGAAGAAGCACCGGCUAACUACGUGCCAGCCGCCGCAGUAACAC